rnacentral:rRNA from 1 species
CACCGGCGGCUCGAGUGGUGUCCACUUUUAUUGGGUCUAAAGCGUCCGUAGCCGGCUUGGCAAGUCCCCUGGGAAAUCUGGCGGCUUAACCGUCAGGCGUCCAGAGGAUACUGCCAGGCUUGGGACCGGGAGAGGUGAGAGGUACCUCAGGGGUAGGGGUGAAAUCUUGUGAUCCCUGAGGGACCACCAGUGGCGAAGGCGUCUCACUAGAACGGGUCCGACGGUCAGGGACGAAAGCUGGGGGCACGAACCGG